rnacentral:rRNA from 1 species
UACGUAGGUGGCGAGCGUUGUCCGGGAUUAUUGGGCGUAAAGAGCGCGUAGGCGGCUUGUCAGGUCCGACGUGAAAUCCCGGGGCUCAACCCCGGACGUGCAUCGGAAACCGGCUUGCUAGAGUCUGGGAGAGGGAAGUGGAAUUCCUGGUGUAGCGGUGAAAUGCGCAGAUAUCAGGAGGAACACCGGUAGCGAAGGCUGCUUCCUGGAACAGUACUGACGCUGAGGCGCGAAAGCUAGGGGAGCAAACAGG